GGUUGGUGGUGCAUGGCCGUUCUUAGUUCGUGGAGCGAUCUGUCUGGUUAAUUCCGAUAACGAACGAGACUCUUGCCUGCUAAAUAGACGGCGCCGCUUCCUACGGCGACCGCGCGCUUCUUAGAGGGACAAGCGGCUCUUAGCCGCGUGAAGCGAAGAGCAAUAACAGGUCAGUGAUGCCCUCAGAUGUUCGGGGCCGCACGCGCGCUACACUGCUUGCGUCAACGUGUGCGUCCCUCGCCUGACGGCGCGGGCAAUCCGUUGAACCGCAAGCGUGCUAGGGAUCGGAGAUUGCAAUUCUUCUCCGUCAACGAGGAAUUCCUUGUACUCGCGAGUCAUCAGCUCGCAGGGAAUCUGUCCCUGCCCUUUGUACACACCGCCCGUCGCUACUACCGAUUGAGUGGUUUAGUGAGGCUCACGGACCGCUGGCGGCACCCGGCGCUCGCGCGCCACGUCGCCGGCGGAAAGUGAUACGAACUUGAUCACUUCUAGGAAGUAAAA
rnacentral:rRNA from 1 species